GCGUUGUCUAGUCCGGUGUACACUGGGUUCACUGCCGUUCACAGCUUAUACCCGCGUCUCACCCCAACUCUCCCGACCCGGACCGUUCAUCGCCGCAAUCCGCUGCCCGUCUUCCGGGAACUGAAGAAAAGACCCGGUGUCCUUUUACAUCACUGCAGCUCCUCACAAUCAGCUACAGACAUCCCCCUCUGGGACCUGGCCGUUACAACCCUGUCUUCUCCUGUUGGCCACGGUUCCAGCGUCCAAAAAGGAACAGAAAAUGGAAUUAACGAAGAAGAAGAAAAAAACAUGUACAGUACAAAUGUUCUGUAGCAAUCAAGAACCUGAAGGUGUAUUUAUUCCACACCGAAGGUGAAUUAGUUUUUCAUCUCGAUCUCCCGCCAACGCUCAUGCACACUGUCAAGUACAUCAUUGAUCAACCAACAUUUGCAGACUAAGACCGGCUCUUCCACCAACGCACUGCCAGAGCGUCGUAUACCCCCCGGCCGAGUCUGCCUGUCUUACCAGUCAGAUUUUUGGUAAAAGCUGCGGUAUCCUGUCCUGAAUCUAAUUAUUGUCCCUCGUUGGCUCAGGAUCGCUUGUUUGCCCUGUGCUCCUCUGCCACGCUCGGCCAGUUCCUCCACCACACUUCCCCUGGACUUUCCAUCCGCUCAAAGGAUCAGAUCAGUUGGGGUUCUGGAAACCCUGCUACCCCUCCCCCCGCUGGUUUGAGGGUUAAUUUGUGUCAUCAGUCAGCACCCGUUGCAAAAAUCGCUUUGUAAUCUCCGAGCUUGGUAUUAAUUUCUGCUCGUGAACUUUUAAUUGUGUGUCAGCCUCUUGUGUUCCACCAUUAGACUCCAGCUCAA